AUGGCUACCUACAGCCUGGCGAACAAGCGACUAUGCGCCCUGGAAGACAUCGAAAGGAAAUCGCCGCCAUCCUUCACAUCCUUUAGAAUGCAGGUACAGUGAUCCUAGAAUUGCCCAAGGAAAAAAACCAACCAGCAGCUUCUAGACCAGCAGGCGGCGGCCUUCACCGCUUCAGUGCCGCACGUGGAGGCGGAGCUGUCGGCUCAGAUCCGCUACCUCACCCAGGUGGCCACGGGGCAGCCCCAUGAGGUCUCCAGCUACUCUUCAAGGAAGGACUGUCAGACGGCUCUGAAGCGAGUGGACUAUGCCGGCCUCAAGCUCAGUGAUGUGGCUUGAACCUGUGAGCAGAUGCUGGAGAACUAGGCAGGGAGGUGGACCCAGAGCUCAGAGGGAGACCAUUGCCUGCGCCAUGGGACAGAACCUGGGAACAUGUACGAUGGGGAGCAUGGGCACCCACAUGCCCUGCUGCUCAAAGUACACUUGGGGAGGCCAAGGCCAGAGGAUCAUGUGACGUAGGGAGUUUGAGACUAGCCUGGCCAACUUCGUGAAACUCCGUCAAAGACAAAGGGGCAAAUGGUGGGCAUGGAAAAACUGAAGCCCGAGCCUGCCCACAGCUAUGCCCUGGCCUCUCCAGCAGGGUGCUCCUGCCCUGUACUCCACCAACACCCUGACAGGCUCAGACAGAGAUGGAAACUCACACAUCCAACCCACUUCCUCAAACACUUUAUGCUCCUGCCCCAGGCUUUGCGCAGACUUGACCUGAUGAAGAUACAUUCUUCUUCACUGGGAGAGACAAAAUAAGAACUAGAAUUUUAAUAAUAAAAGCAACAACAAUAAAAAAAAAAA